ACCAAGGUGGCUAAGUGGGUAGCGCACCUGUCUAGUAAGCAGGAGACCUGGGUUCGAUUCCCAGCCUUGGUA